GAUGAAGAACGUAGCGAAAUGCGAAACGUAAUGUGAAUUGCAGAAUUCAGUGAAUCAUCGAAUCUUUGAACGCAUAUUGCGCUCUUUGGUAUUCCGAAGAGCAUGCUUGUUUGAGUAUCAGUAAACACCUCAAAGCUUUUGGAUUUUUUAAUCGAAAAGCUUUGGACUUGAGCAAUCCCAACACCAAUCUUUUUGAGAUCGGUGGCGGGUUGCUUGAAAUGCAGGUGCAGCUGGACAUUCUCCUGAGCUAAAAGCAUAUUCAUUUAGUCCCGUCAAACGGAUUAUUACUUUUGCUGCAGCUAACAUAAAGGGAGUUUGACCGUAUUGGCUGACUGAUGCAGGAUUUCACAAGGGUCGGCAACGAUUCUUGUUAAACUCGAUCUCAAAUCAAGUAAGACUACCCGCUGAACUUAAGCAUAUCAAUAAGCGGAUGA
rnacentral:misc_RNA from 1 species